GACGAACGCUGGCGGCGUGCUUAACGCAUGCAAGUCGAACGGAAAGGCCCUGCUUUUGUGGGGUGCUCGAGUGGCGAACGGGUGAGUAACACGUGAGUAACCUGCCCUUGACUUUGGGAUAACUUCAGGAAACUGGGGCUAAUACCGGAUAGGAGCUCCUGCUGCAUGGUGGGGGUUGGAAAGUUUCGGCGGUUGGGGAUGGACUCGCGGCUUAUCAGCUUGUUGGUGGGGUAGUGGCUUACCAAGGCUUUGCCGGGUAGCCGGCCUGCGAGGGUGACCGGCCACAUUGGGACUGGGAUACGGCCCAGACUCCUACGGGAGGCAGCGGUGGGGAAUAUUACACAAUGGGCGGAAGCCAGAUGCAGCAACGCCGCGUGCGGGAUGACGGCCUUCGGGUUGUAAACCGCUUUCGCCUGUGACGAAGCGUGAGUGACGGUAAUGGGUAAAGAAGCACCGGCUAACUACGUG
rnacentral:rRNA from 1 species